rnacentral:lncRNA from 1 species
GCCCCUCGCUCCCCCUCCUCUGUGGUUCCUGCCGAGCCGGCUGCGGCGGCGAUAAGCGGAGACCCCGAGCUGCGGCGUCAGGUGCUGGCUCGGCCCUGGCCCUCAGGCUCCUGCGCGCAUGGCCCUGCCGGCCCUCUGCUGCCCCCUGCGGCCCUGCGGGGAAAGCUGCCCGUCCGGGCCUGGCUGAUCCCCUCUCUGUGCAGUGGCUCAAGUGGACUUAACGGCCAGGUUCUUGGUGGGGCUCAAGGUCAUUCCCCAGGCAUUGGCCUGUGCUGAGGUGACUGACUCCAGCCCCAGGGUUCCUGCUGAAACCCUGCCCCACCAUCUCCGGCCCCGUCAGUCAUUAAAGGUCUCACCUCUGCUGCUACCGUCACCAUCGGCCUUGGGCAGAUCAAGUAGAGGCAGUAACCGUGGUCUUCAAGAAAAUAUUCUCCCCCUGAGCGCUGAGAACAUCCAGCACCAAGAGGAGAGGAGAUGCCAAAGCGGGACUGAAAGAACUAAAGGCUCAGAUGGAGGAAUCUCUUCUGGGCCCUCCAAGAACAGCCUCUCAUUCCUCCUCCAAUGCCGUGGUUCUGGAGAUCCUUUCUUUUUCCACUGGAUAUCCCCAAGCCUGGGCCCAAAUCCUUCACCCACAACAGGACUGUAGCCUCCCAACUCUCCGCCCCACCCCCACCCCAGGCCUUCAUUUGCCAAACCCUGGUCUUGUGAGAGGGUCUGGAGAGUCCAAAGUAUAAAAAGCUCCCAAGAGAAAAGUAUGUGCAGGCCAGGUCUCCUCAUGGAGCCAUGGGGUCCCCCUGCUGCUGAGUAGGUUCUAGCCCUCCCAGGUCAUUCUAGCUGGAUACGUGGAGAUGUCAAACUUGAAUGGAGCGGGGAGGAUGAACAUAGAAAACACACUGAUUAGUACUUGAACAU